rnacentral:rRNA from 1 species
CACGUAGGAGGCGAGCGUUGUCCGGAAUCAUUGGGCGUAAAGAGCGCGCAGGCGGCUUGGCAAGUCGGGUGUGAAAUCCCGGGGCUCAACCCCGGGACUGCAUUCGAUACUGUCAGGCUAGAGGUAGGUAGGGGAGAUCGGAAUUCCUGGUGUAGCGGUGAAAUGCGCAGAUAUCAGGAGGAACACCGGUGGCGAAGGCGGGUCUCUGGGCCGAUACUGACGCUGAGGAGCGAAAGCGUGGGGAGCGAACAGG